CCUACGGGAGGCAGCAGUCGAGAAUCAUUCACAAUGGGGGAAACCCUGAUGGUGCGACGCCGCGUGGGGGAAUGAAGGUCUUCGGAUUGUAAACCCCUGUCAUGUGGGAGCAAAUUAAAAAGAUAGUACCACAAGAGGAAGAGACGGCUAACUCUGUGCCAGCAGCCGCGGUAAUACAGAGGUCUCAAGCGUUGUUCGGAUUCACUGGGCGUAAAGUGUGCGUAGGCAGUUUCGUAAGUCGGGUGUGAAAGGCGCGGGCUCAACCCGCGGACGGCACAUGAUACUGCGAGACUAGAGUAAUGGAGGGGGAACCGGAAUUCUCGGUGUAGCAGUGAAAUGCGUAGAUAUCGAGAGGAACACUCGUGGCGAAGGCGGGUUCCUGGACAUUAACUGACGCUGAGGCACGAAAGCCAGGGGAGCGAAAGGGAUUAGAUACCCGUGUAGUC
rnacentral:rRNA from 1 species